GCUGAACAGUGAAAGAGCUUUAGAAAGUGCACACAACGCAAUGCAGGCUGAGAAACAGAAGGUCGACCGAGAGCACGCAGCCCUGCAGCAAGAAAUUCAAGACCUGAACAGCUCCUGAAGAGCUAUAUGGAAAGCUGACAUACAUUGUUUUUGCUUUCCAAGGGAAAAAAGGGGUAUGGAUUUAACUUCAGCCUCACACAAAAAGGUGCUGGUUCGAUUCCUGGGCCUGACUCUUUUUGUGUGGAGUUGGAUUUUCUCCCCUGUGUGAAUGUGUGUGAGUGGUUGUUUGUUUCUAUGUGCCCCGUGUUGGACUGGCGACCUAUCCAGGUUGUACCCGGCCUCCCACCUAAUGUCAGCUGGGAUUGGCUCCGGUCGAGCAUAUGGAUGAAACUUCAGCCUCACGCAAAAAGGUGCUGGUUCGAUUCCUGGGCCUGACUCUUUUUGUGUGGAGUUGGAUUUUCUCCUCAGAUUGACCUAAAAAUACCAAACCACUAACUGAAAGAGGGGCGGCACAGUGGUGCAGUGGUUAGCACUGUCACCUCAGAGCAAGAAGGUCCAGGGUUCAAACCUUGGUCAUCCAUGGUCCAGGGUCUGAACCUCGGUCGUCUGCGUCUCUGUGUGGAGUUCAUAUGUUCUCCCCGUGUCUGUCCCGGUUCCCCCCCAUUGUAAAACAUUUAUUAUGUAGAUUCUGAAUUGACCUAAAAAUACCAAACCACUACCUAAAAGAGGGGCGGCACAGUGGUGCAGUGGUUAGCACUGUCACCUCAGAGCAAGAAGGUCCAGGGUUCAAACCUUGGUCAUCCAUGGUCCAGGGUCUGAACCUCGGUCGUCUUCGUCUCUGUGUGGAGUUUACAU